UUGUGGUUCUCUUAUGCCUGAUCGGCCAAGAGCUAAGAGGGAAUUCGGUGGGGAUGUUAAAUCAUCCGGUUCCGAAGCUGCCCCCGCAACUGUAAACGGCUAGCUGAAAUUCUUUAUACCACUGGAAUAUUUUCCGGGAAGGUGAACUGAGGCGUUUAUCCGUGAGCCAGGAGACCUGCCAUGACAAAUA
rnacentral:ncRNA from 1 species